rnacentral:lncRNA from 1 species
AAAAUCAGUCAUAAAAAACAGUACAUUGGUGCAGCAACAUAGAACUGAUGGGUAGCUUGAGCCUUGAAUGUAAGACAUACCAAGAAAUUUAUAAGCAAGGAAGAAGCUAUGGUUUUGCUAACUACCGGACUAAAGAGUACUCUCAUCUAAUAUAUGUUCUGAAGCUUAUAUCCGCAUGCAUGGGGUGGCUUCUCACUGAAGAAGACUAUGUCCGAAGCAUAUUGACAAAGACUUCACCACAUGUUACGGGAGAUGGAUAUCACAACAUAGCAAUAGAAUCAGGAAGUCAUCUCACAACAUAGCAAUAAAACCAGGAAAUCAUCUUACAAUACAGCAAUAAAAUCAGGAAUUCAUCAAUUGCAGCACAACGCCAUUCAGAGGACUGACUCCAUGAUUAUUUUGCAGUAGCAUAUCUGGUUGUUGUUCUCUACCAACCCAUCAAUCGAUGUGACUUCCUGUUAAAUCAGAGGAACCCAAUUACCAACCCUUGGAAAGGGGAUCAAGAAAAAAAAUUAGAUCCUCACAAAUCAAACCUUAGGAGGAGAAAGGAGGCGCAGGUGCAAAGGUUGAAAACCUACGGAAUUUGCCCAUAGGGAGCGAGGUGGACGUUACCACCAUCCACAGAACUAACAACAGUUGAGCCUCGCUUUGAUGCAUUGACGAGUCUUGCUCAUGCCCGCCUCGCUUUGCCCCACGUAGACCAGUAUCGUUGGAUGCUUUUCCUCUCCUGGUCUGACAGAUUGGAUCGGAUCAAAGGUUAACUACUUGAUGAGGACCAACCUCCAUGAUUUUCUGAACUCAAUCGACCAAAACUAUGAU